rnacentral:rRNA from 1 species
UAGAGUUUGAUCCUGGCUCAGAUUGAACGCUGGCGGCAUGCCUUACACAUGCAAGUCGAACGGUAACGCGGGGCAACCUGGCGACGAGUGGCGAACGGGUGAGUAAUACAUCGGAACGUGCCCAGUAGUGGGGGAUAGCCCGGCGAAAGCCGGAUUAAUACCGCAUACGACCUACGGGUGAAAGCAGGGGACCGCAAGGCCUUGCGCUAUUGGAGCGGCCGAUGUCAGAUUAGGUUGUUGGUGGGGUAAAAGCCUACCAAGCCGACGAUCUGUAGCUGGUCUGAGAGGACGACCAGCCACACUGGGACUGAGACACGGCCCAGACUCCUACGGGAGGCAGCAGUGGGGAAUCUUAGACAAUGGGGGCAACCCUGAUCUAGCCAUGCCGCGUAAGUGAUGAAGGCCUUAGGGUUGUAAAGCUCUUUUCAGCUGGGAAGAUAAUGACGUACCAGC